GAUAAAGUGGCUGAAUAAUAGGCGAUAGAUUGUAAAUCUUUUCAUGAGGUAGACUCCUUUAUCA
rnacentral:tRNA from 1 species